AUCUAACCCUAAACCUAGCUAUCUCCCUCUCCCCACUCCUCAGCCGCCAGCCACUCCUUCCUCCCUCUCCUCUCUUCUUCUCCACUCCUCCCUCCCUCUCUGCUUCUCUCCCUCACCUCCCUCUCCACUCCCGACCCUAGCCGCCGGACGCUCGCCCCCCCAACCCCAUCCGCCGGCGACGAGGACUGCGAGGAGGAGCCGGGUGCCACUUCUUCUUGCCGCCGCCGCCCCCGACCCCGGCCGCCACAUCCCUGCCGCCGACGGCCCUGUCGGCACUGGAUCCGACGACCUCAACAACGGCCACCGCCGGAUCCGGCGCCCCAGCUGCUCGCCGGUGGAGAGGAGGAGCUCGUCGUCAGUGAACUCGUGGGUUAGGGUUGCUGCUGGAUCGGGGACUUGCUGCCGGGUCGGUUUGGAUCGAGCGAGAAUUGUUGCAGUUUUAGGUUCAUUUUUGCAUUUGUAAUGCUUCUGUGUUUCAAUCUUUGGAUCUGUAAUAGUGUAAUGCUUCUGUGAUUCGUGGCUUUUGUGAUUCGUGGCAAUUCUCAUUUUGGCGACCUAAACCGGUGGGGUACUGGGGUGCCUGCGAAUUUGCGGGUUUUUUUUU